CAGACUCGGAGCCUGCAGCUACAGACCCCCGCCCAGAGAGCCGCAUUCUCAGACCCCUCGUUUUUCGAGACGGCGAUCAAAUUGGAUCGGAUAAACAUUUGAAGAAACAUGGAUAUAACAAUUCAAACGGGGGACUCACUUCCAGAAAUUCCAAAAUGUCACAAAUGCUGCAGUGAUUUUGACUACCAUCAAAGUGGUUCCCCCUAAAGCCAUGUGUGCCUGUCUACAUGGACAGCCAUUAUUCAUGGCCUAUGUGAAAUGCAGGCAUUAUCCUGGCAGGAAGCUGAGCAGGUGUUCCUCAGUGGCCCUUCUUAUCACUCGAGUGAAGUCAAGGAAUUUGACAGAGCAGUUUCCAAAAGACAGAAAAAGAAGGAAAAAAAAUCACCUGCAGGAACAAGAUGAUGUUUAGGUGAUUGUUCAAUAAAGUACAGAAUUGUUUAUUAUUAGUGUUUUGUCUAUUAUUAUUUAAGUUUAGCUUCGGAUUCAAAAUAUC